rnacentral:rRNA from 1 species
UGGGGAAUCUUGCACAAUGGGGAAACCCUGAUGCAGCGACGCCGCGUGAGCGAUGAAGGUUUUCGAAUCGUAAAGCUCUGUCCUAUGGGAAGAUAAUGACGGUACCAUAGGAGGAAGCCCCGGCUAACUACGUGCCAGCAGCCGCGGUAAUACGUAGGGGGCGAGCGUUGUCCGGAAUUACUGGGCGUAAAGGGUUCGCAGGCGGCAUGACAAGUCCGAUGUAAAAGGCGAAAGCUCAACUUUCGUAAGCAUCGGAAACUGUCAAGCUUGAGUGAAGGAGGGGCAAGUGGAAUUCCUAGUGUAGCGGUGGAAUGCGUAGAUAUUAGGAGGAAUACCGGUGGCGAAGGCGACUUGCUGGACUUCAACUGACGCUGAGGAACGAAAGCGUGGGUAGCAAACAGG